rnacentral:rRNA from 1 species
UACAGAGGGGGCAAGCGUUAUUCGGAAUUACUGGGCGUAAAGGGCUCGUAGGUGGCCAACUAAGUCAGACGUGAAAUCCCUCGGCUUAACCGGGGAACUGCGUCUGAUACUGGAUGGCUUGAGAUUGGGAGAGGGAUGCGGAAUUCCAGGUGUAGCGGUGAAAUGCGUAGAUAUCUGGAGGAACACCGGUGGCGAAGGCGGCAUCCUGGACCAACACUGACACUGAGGAGCGAAAGCCAGGGGAGCAAACGGG